CACGCUUAGAUAGAUUUAUCCUUUAGCAUACUAGGCUUGAGGUUUAACAUGUCUAGCUGAUAUCAAGUACAAAUUCUUCUAGUAAUUCCUAACUUAGAUAUAAGAUAUUUCUAAGUCAUAUCAUAUCAAUAUGCAUAUAAAAUGCUUCAGUAUUAACAUCUUUUGUUAGAGGAUCGGAGCAACUAUAUUAGCAAAUGAUAAAUAACUAGUAAUAACCUUUUUGUUUUCAAUAAUAACACAUACAUGAUGAUAUUAAACUCGAAUAUGUUUACGUCUUGAACUAUUGGAUCCGCUAUCAAUGAGUGCAAUUACUACUUGAUUAUUACAAUAUAUAUUAGGAGAUCCAGUAGGAAUACCAAGUUUCAUAUAAUUUAUAAAAUGUUAUAUCCACAUCGCAUAAAUAGAUGCUAUACCCAAGGUUUUAUAUCCCAAUGGAAUAGAGGCAUCCCAACCAUUCCAUUCUAUUUUCGUGAGAAAAUAGGACUGGGAUGGGUUCGAGACUCUAAAUCCUAUCCAUACAGGAA
rnacentral:lncRNA from 1 species